rnacentral:sRNA from 1 species
UCUUCUGGCCACCAUGAGUAUGAUUCCCACCGGCUCAGGCUCUCUGCCAGCUUUCUCCUCUGGUGCUGCCGCCAAGCAGCCUGGAUGAAGCAGGCAGCCCAUGUCCUCCAAUGGUGGGAGUAGAACCGGAACGUGUGCUGGAGCUUCUUGCUGUGUAGUCUUCUGAACUGGUUCGCGACGAACUUGAGGUCCUCGGCUCUCAGGGCAAAGGCCUCAACCUCUGUAAGGCUCUGCACUGUCCUCGUCGAAAGCGGGAAAUGGACAUUGGUCUUUGGAAGUAAAGCCCAUGUGAGCAGCUCCUCGCCAGCGAAAUCACCAGGGCGCAGGAUGAUGGAGUUGAAGAAGUUGCUGCGGCCUCCGUUGGUUGUGGAGCUCUCUAGCUUACCGCGUAUGACGAAGAGCAUCUCAUUCACAGGAUCACCCUCACGAGAAAUGUAUGUGCGCUCAGGGCACAGGAAAGACACCAGACGCUCGCAGAUGGCGUCUAGAAGUUGGUAAUCCAUCUCCGAGAAAAAUGGGACCCGUCGAACAAGGUCCAAACAAAGAUGGCGCUGUACAUCCCGGCGUAUAUCAGCAGGCAAAGCUUGUAAGAUGGAUUCCUCUUCUACUCCUCGUGUUGCAAGCCAUUUAACCUGAACGAAUCGCCGGACACGAUCUUGAAGUUCAUCAGGGAGCUGAUGAUGUCUCAUCCACUCCUCCAUAUCUCUUUGCCGGAGCCUCCACUCUUCAAGCCUUUUACUGAUGGACUGCAAGUAUGUCUACAAGAUGACAAACAAAAAGGAAGUAAGCAACAUCUCUGAACCAACAACCUCAAUUGGUUGCAAAUAUGUACAGAAAGUUUAAUAUUCAAGAUGGGGAUGUAUAUUAAAAAUUAAUUAUACCUAAGCUGCAGCAAGCCCCACCACAGACAAAAGAAGUACUUCUCAAGAAAUGGAGCAGAAACAGCACCUUUACUCAGUGCGGUUGAAAACAUUCCAUAAUUAAAUGGUGGGGGGUUAGCACUUGAAUUACGAUUGGGAUCACAAUUGUCAAAUAUACUUGUGUUCUUUCCCCAAGUAAGAUAACUGCUAGAACCAGUAUUGUCACAGCUUAUGAAGUUAAAACUACAAGACUCAUUUAGGCACUGCUGAUUCCAACAUGUAAUUUGCCGUUCAAUGGAGAGAAGAUAGUGGUCAUACAUGACUUGCAAGCAUGUAGUACAGAAGAUUGUAUGCUGCUCCUAGCCAGGCUGACUUGGCAACUACUCCAGCUGCUUUGAUAAUUUGAUUGCUUAAUGGUACAAUGAGAUACAUUCUGAAUAUAUACUGAAUCAUAAUAACCAGAGCAAAUGUGGUGUUCCGGAUGUUGUAAUCUGAGUUUUUUAUUGAAGGCAUAAUAAUCCACACGGUAACCUGCAAGAGAAAAGGGAUCGUUGCAAGUAGGUCAAUAAAGAAAUCUGUUCUGAGAUAUCUCCGUUGAAUCUUCUUUAAGUCCAAGACAAGCUCUCCCUUCCCAAGUACUCUGGACUUUGGAUCUACAUAUGCAGUAUGGAACUUGACCAUGAUGUUCAGCAUGUAAAACAAGUCCGCAAAUGUCCUAAGAACAGUGAUAGUUAUGCUCAAUCGCCGGUCCUUGGCAAUGCAUGAACGGUUGGUACUUUCAUCUAGUACAUGAACUAGCGGCAGGUAGUAGAAGAAAGGAUCAAUGAAAAGAGCAAACAAACAGGACCCUAGGAACACCCUGUUCCACAU